CUACGCGCAUACCCAAUGGGAAAGCUUGAUGUCAGUCCCGCUUCCUCACCCUGGCAACGGGCGGGUGACUACUUCCGGUGCUGUGAGGGCUCGGGGCUGACGCUGGGUAAUUCCUCUCCUGCAAUUACUUUUGGAUGGAAGUAUGUACUUUUCCCAAUAGAAGAUGGUAAUCUCAGAGAAUGACCAUGGAGAAGGGGAUGAGUUCUGGAGAAGGGGUGCCUUCCAGAUCAUCUCAGAUUUCGACUGUUAAAAUAACAGUCAAAGAGUUGGAAACAAAGCAGUCCCAUAAGGAGAAGCGAGGGGGCUUUGUGUUGGUACAUGCAGGUGCAGGUUAUCAUUCUGAAUCCAAAGCGAAGGAAUAUAAACAUGUAUGCAAACGAGCUUGUCAGAAGGCAAUUGAAAAGCUACAGGCUGGUGCUCUUGCGACAGAUGCAGUGACUGCGGCUCUGGUGGAACUUGAGGAUUCUCCUUUUACAAAUGCAGGAAUGGGAUCUAAUCUAAAUCUCUUGGGUGAAAUUGAGUGUGAUGCCAGCAUAAUGGAUGGAAAAUCCUUAAAUUUUGGAGCCGUUGGAGCACUGAGUGGAAUCAAGAAUCCAGUCUCAGUUGCAAACAGACUCUUGUGUGAAGGGCAGAAGGGCAAGCUCUCAGCUGGCAGAAUUCCUCCCUGCUUUUUAGUUGGAGAAGGAGCCUACAGAUGGGCAGUAGAUCACGGAAUACCCUCUUGCCCUCCUAACAUCAUGACCACAAGAUUCAGUUUAGCUGCAUUUAAAAGGAACAAGAGGAAACUAGAGCUGGCAGAAAGAGUGGAAACAGAUUUCAUUCAACUAAAGAAAAGAAGACAAUCAAGUGAAAAGGAGAAUGACUCAGGCACUUUGGACACAGUGGGCGCUGUAGUGGUGGACCAUGAAGGGAACGUUGCUGCUGCUGUCUCCAGUGGAGGCUUGGCCUUGAAACAUCCAGGGAGAGUUGGACAGGCUGCUCUUUAUGGAUGUGGCUGCUGGGCUGAAAAUACUGGAGCUCAUAAUCCCUACUCUACAGCUGUGAGUACCUCAGGAUGUGGGGAGCAUCUUGUGCGCACCAUACUGGCUAGAGAAUGUUCACAUGCUUUACAAGCUGAAGAUGCUCACCAAGCACUGUUGGAGACUAUGCAAAACAAGUUUAUCAGACAUCUGGAGGACCUGUGCCUGAGCUCCACUGUGUCUUCGAUGCACCUGACUCCUCUCCUCCUACUCUGCAAUCUAUAGGAGUUGGAUAGUUGUGACUUAGAGCAGAUGACCUGCAGAGUUUGAAAAUGUUUAGCAUUUGGCUGUCUACAGAAGAAAUUUGGCAAUCCUUGGCCUAGAUGAUUCAGAAAAGUCCUUCCAUCUUGAUGCUUCCAAAAACAUGCAUUUAUUCCUUUAUUCAGUAAGUAUUUGAACAUACACUAUAUUUCAAGCAUUAGAUCAGGCACAAGGGGUAUAGCAGUGAAUAAACGACAUCCAUGUCCUCAUGGAGCUUAUAUUUUGUCAAGUCAGGCAAACAGCAAAUAAAUAGGUAAACUUCUCAUCUGUUGUAUAGUCGUAAGAGCUACAGUGAAAAAUGAAGUUUUGAGCAUGGUCAGGGAAGAGCUCCUUAGAAGGUGACAUUUGAACAGAAAUUCAGAGUUGAGAGAUGGAAACAUGUGGUCCAUGAAGGAAAGAACAUCCCAGAACAGCAUGUGCUAAAGAGGUAGCAAUGUGUCUGUAGAGGUUGAAGAAUAGCAGGAAGGCCAGUGUGGCUGGAGCAGAUGGAACAAGGGGGAAGAUGGUUAGGGAGGAGCUCAAAGAGGUAGUAAGGACCAUUAUGCAGAAACUUACCCAUGGAAAUUUAUAAGAAGAAGAAUAUCAUGACCUGAUUUAUAUUUUAACAUGGUCAAUCUGGCUACAGUACUGACAACAGACAUGGAGGGCAGGAGUGGAACCUGGGGGACCAGUCAGAUGCUCUCAGAAUAUAUUAGGCAAGAGAUAGGCUUGGAGUAGAGUGAUGGUGGUGGAAGGGAAAGAAGUGGUUGGAUUCUCGUAAGUUUUUGAAGGGAGAGCUAGCAUAAUAGCUACUCAGUUGAUACAGAGUAAGAGAUAAGGAGAGACAAAGAUGACUUGACUUUUGGCCUGAACAACUGAAACAAUGAAGUUUCUUUUUGUUGACAGGGGGAUGCCUCCAUAAAGAGUAAGUUGUGGGGGAAGAUCAGGAGUUCCAGGCAGUGUUUAUUAAGUAUGCGGGUGGAAACGUUAAUAAGGCAAUUGUAUAUUCAAGUCUCUAGUUCAGGGAGAAGGCCUGGGCUAAAAUAAACCUGAGAAUUAAGAGUUUGCAGAUGACAUUUAAAGUGAUGGACAGAUGGAGAGGGACGCUGGAAUCACUUGAGUGAUGAGUGAGAAGGGAUGGACACGCACAGCUAUUGAUCUAGGAAAAACAUGAGCAGUUCAUUUGUGGUAAUAUUCAAAUCACAAAGAUGUGAUGAGGAUGUAUGGAGGUUUUCUCUCUCACCUCUGUUUUUCUUGGGGAAUUGGGAAGCAAGGUCAGCUCCAGUGUUAGGAUGGAGGAGGAGAUAUUGGAAAUUUGAGGAGAAAUGAGAAAUGUAUGAUUUCUGGGCAACAUUGAGGGCCCAAAUUGAGUUAGUGAUCAUGAGUGGUUAGCAUGGUAGUGCCAUUUUCCAGUCAAAUUCAGCUUAGGGGUGUAGGCAUGGAGUUGGAUUUAAUAAUGAUUGGAAUUUGCCAGGUGAGUAUGAUGGUCAAGAGUAGGAUAAAAUAGCUGAUAGUUUCUGCAGGGAAUUAAUUAUAAUGAUGGACUAUAGACUUCAGCCCACUUAAGGACCAAAAUGAGGAUUUGAGGUGGGCAAGGGAAAGAUUGAAGGAUUGUUGGAUUAUGGGUCCUAGAGAGUAUGCACUAGAAAGGGGGAGUGAGAUGCUUAGAAGUGAGGUCUAUAAAAGAGGUGGAAGUUGUUGGUAAUCACAAUAUGGUAUUUUAGAGUGAGUGGCUGACAUAAGUAAAGGACAGGAUUCUUGGGAGAGAAGAGGUCUAGGAAUUGAGAGGUCAGAGAUGGAAGCAUAAUCUCCAUACUUUGAAAUCACUAACGUUAUGGCAGGAUGGAUGUCAGAGAAAUGAUGAUCAAAGAGCAUAAAUCUUUGAGGAGUGAUGGGGAGCGACCUCCGGAGGCCAGUGGAUGAACUGUCAUAUGGACAAGUCUGGUGAUAGGAAACUCAAAUCUGGUUAAGAGUCUAUGGGCAGUCCUAAGGAGAAAGAAAGACACCACCUAACUACAGGCAUGAUGACAGGAAGGGAAUUCCAGAGAUGAACAAGGCCAUGAUGGACCCACAUGGGGAAAGAAGUUGGAGCAGUAGAUCAGGGAAAGGAUUUCACAGGAAACGACAGACCUCGCUGUGCCCAGGAUUCUGACAGCUGUCCUCAGGGUCCAACAGUGGAUCUUACAUAAUGAUGAAGGGACAUGUAAAUAACCUGAUUAAAAUGACAGGUCUAGGUGUGUGACUGCAUACCCAUAUUCUAGUGUGGUACAUGGGCCUCCUAAUGGAGAGCAGUGACCCAAAUGCUCUCCUUGGCAGAGCACCUGCUGUCAGUCCCCAGUGGAAUUUCUUCUUGUCCUACUUCUACUCUAAGCAGUGUCUGCUGAAGCAUGUACUCAUCAGUAUGGCAGUGAGGGGUGUGGUCCAUUUGCCACCUUGCUGGGCCUUGGCAAAGGAGACUGUCCAGGGGACAUGGGGAUAACUCUCACACUCACUCACUGCGGAACUCUUAUCUGGAUUACCGUAGAAACAUCCUCAGCGGUCUUCCUGCCUUUUCCUGUGACAACUACCCUCAACCCAGUCUAUUCUCCACAUAGCAGCCUGUUCAGUUCCUUCUCUAUUGCUUUGAUGACCCUCCACUAUAAUGAGGAUAAAAUGCAGACAUUACCUCAUGGCAUUUCUAAUUUGAUUCCUGCUUGUUCCCUU